rnacentral:rRNA from 1 species
CCUACGGGAGGCAGCAGUGGGGAAUAUUGGACAAUGGGCGAAAGCCUGAUCCAGCCAUGCCGCGUGUGUGAAGAAGGCCUUCGGGUUGUAAAGCACUUUCAGUGGGGAAGAAAGCCUUGGGGCUAAUACCCUCGAGGAAGGACAUCACCCACAGAAGAAGCACCGGCCAACUCCGUGCCAGCAGCCGCGGUAAUACGGAGGGUGCGAGCGUUAAUCGGAAUUACUGGGCGUAAAGCGCGCGUAGGCGGUCUGAUAAGCCGGUUGUGAAAGCCCCGGGCUCAACCUGGGAACGGCAUCCGGAACUGUCAGGCUAGAGUGCAGGAGAGGAAGGUAGAAUUCCCGGUGUAGCGGUGAAAUGCGUAGAGAUCGGGAGGAAUACCAGUGGCGAAGGCGGCCUUCUGGACUGACACUGACGCUGAGGUGUGAAAGCGUGGGUAGCAAACAGGAUUAGAUACCCCGGUAGUC